GCCAGCAGCCAUAUCACUCUGCAGCUCACAACUGGCAACCCAUUGAAGCUUAGCAGAUCUGAACUUGGUCAGUACCUGGAUGGGACACCUCCUGAGAAAAACUGAGGUUGCUGCUGGAA
rnacentral:rRNA from 1 species